GCCAGCCAGCAGUCAGUCAGUCGGCGCUGUGUGACCCCGUGCCGCGCGAGGAUUGUGUCUGCUAUGCAAGAUUAGACCUGGGAUGUGCCCGCCGUCCAGAUUCCAUUGUUAGCUCAAGCACAGUCGACGCAGGGCCGGCCAUAGUGCGCCGCGACACAGAGAGACAGGGAGAGUCCCAGAGAGGCUACAUCUGCGAAAACCCCGAGCCGCGGGCUCGUUCUAGUCAGGAAAUUACACACAGGAAAUCAUACAGCAGACUCACAGAAGAUAGAAACACGGAAUAGUGGUAGGACUCAUACAAAAAGUACUCGUUCUAUCUAGCGUGGAAGUUGUUUUCAUCACCUUUCUUGUAUUUCAAGAAAAAGCAGAAAAGUUCUCGGAGUAUCUGCUGCAGUCUGGAUUGUACUCUCUGUGCUUUUGCUGGAUUUUCCCCUUCGUACCUCACUACAGUCAGCAGUACACGCUGCCCUUUGGAGUAUUGUAAACCUCGCAGUGAAAGGAUCCCCUAGUGGUUGACUACGUUGUUACGUCAUCCAGCAUUUCCAUCAUGAGGAGUAACUACGUGCUGUUAGCACUCACCCUGACCUUGACCUGUGUGGUCCUCGGGGUCAGGGGUCAGCAAGGCCCUGAACCCGUGGGGGUCAACUGGGGUGUGACGGACAGUACGGCCAUCGUGGGUCGGAUGUUCCGGCUGCACAUCCCGAGUGACGCCUUCAGUGGGACUGUGGACGGAUAUGAGGU